rnacentral:rRNA from 1 species
UACAGAGGGUGCAAGCGUUAAUCGGAAUUACUGGGCGUAAAGCGCGCGUAGGUGGUUCGUUAAGUUGGAUGUGAAAUCCCCGGGCUCAACCUGGGAACUGCAUCCAAAACUGGCGAGCUAGAGUAUGGUAGAGGGUGGUGGAAUUUCCUGUGUAGCGGUGAAAUGCGUAGAUAUAGGAAGGAGCACCAGUGGCGAAGGCGACCACCUGGACUGAUACUGACACUGAGGUGCGAAAGCGUGGGGAGCAAACAGG